UCAGGAUGAACGCUAGCUACAGGCUUAACACAUGCAAGUCGAGGGGUAGCACGGAGGAAGCUUGCUUCCUUGGGUGACGACCGGCGCACGGGUGAGUAACGCGUAUCCGACCUACCCAUAACUCGGGCACAGCCGCUCGAAAGAGUGAUUGAUUCCCGAUAUGUCCUUGGAGUAGAUUCAAUGAUGAAAGAUUUAUCGGUUAUGGAUGGGGAUGCGUAAGAUUAGGUAGUAGGCGGGGUAACGGCCCACCUAGCCGACGAUCUUUAGGGGUUCUGAGAGGAAGGUCCCCCACACUGGUACUGAGACACGGACCAGACUCCUACGGGAGGCAGCAGUGAGGAAUAUUGGUCAAUGGGCGGAAGCCUGAACCAGCCAAGUAGCGUGAAGGAUUACAGCCCUACGGGUUUUAAACUUCUUUUAUAUAAGAGUAAUGUGCACUACGUGUAGUGUAUUGCAAGUAUUAUAUGAAUAAGCAUCGGCUAACUCCGUG
rnacentral:rRNA from 1 species